rnacentral:rRNA from 1 species
CGGACGGGUGAGUAACACGUGGGUAACCUAUCUAUAAGACUGGAAUAACUCCGGGAAACCGGGGCUAAUGCCGGAUAACAUGUUGAACCGCAUGGCUCUACAGUGAAAGGCGGCUUUGCUGUCACUUAUAGAUGGACCCGCGCCGUAUUAGCUAGUUGGUGAGGUAACGGCUCACCAAGGCAACGAUACGUAGCCGACCUGAGAGGGUGAUCGGCCACACUGGAACUGAGACACGGUCCAG